rnacentral:rRNA from 1 species
CCUACGGGAGGCAGCAGUGGGGAAUAUUGCACAAUGGGCGAAAGCCUGAUGCAGCGACGCCGCGUGAGGGAUGACGGCCUUCGGGUUGUAAACCUCUUUCAGCAGGGAAGAAGCGAAAGUGACGGUACCUGCAGAAGAAGCGCCGGCUAACUACGUGCCAGCAGCCGCGGUAAUACGUAGGGCGCAAGCGUUGUCCGGAAUUAUUGGGCGUAAAGAGCUCGUAGGCGGCUUGUCACGUCGGUUGUGAAAGCCCGGGGCUUAACCCCGGGUCUGCAGUCGAUACGGGCAGGCUAGAGUGUGGUAGGGGAGAUCGGAAUUCCUGGUGUAGCGGUGAAAUGCGCAGAUAUCAGGAGGAACACCGGUGGCGAAGGCGGAUCUCUGGGCCAUUACUGACGCUGAGGAGCGAAAGCGUGGGGAGCGAACAGGAUUAGAUACCCUGGUAGUCCACGCCGUAAACGGUGGGAACUAGGUGUUGGCGACAUUCCACGUCGUCGGUGCCGCAGCUAACGCAUUAAGUUCCCGCCUGGGGAGUACGGCCGCAAGGCUAAAACUCAAAGGAAUUGACGG